UCCACAUCAUUUCAUUGCUCGCUCCGCCGUGGCAUUUCCGCCGUCCUCCUCCGCAGUCGCUUCGCUCCACCGCCUCCCCCCGGCGGCUGCGUAGGCUCCACUCUCCACGAAGCCCGCUCUGUCCGCAUCGCACGCCAGAGAUCGCCCCUCGGCGGCGGUGGAAUGGUUCUUGGGGCCGGGAAGGAUCAGGACAACGUCGAAGAUGAGGGAGGCGGCGGCCUUCGCCGCUCCACUCUGCGGCGCUCGACUGACCGCCUUUCGUAUCCGUUGCGCCUCGCAUAAUUUUCAUGCAACUCUCAGCCAGAGACAGAGAUUUGUAUUGAUUCAUAAAUGUCAGAAGAGAGUGAAUUCUGUCCCAUUUGUCAUCAGUUCAAUGUUGAAGAAGGUAAAGUCUGAUUUGAGUAAUGGUGACUCUGGUACAACUGAACCUGAUAUUCUGUUGGAGAAAUUAUUUGAAAAGACGCAGAAAUUAGAAAUGAUGAGUAGCGAUUCUCAUCUUUCUGAGGAUGCUGAACAAGGUCUGAACCUUGAAAUAUCGGAGACUGAUGUUGAAGCUGCAUUUUCAACUUUAUAGAAGAAGGAAGAAGACCUCAAGAAUGCUGAGUGGAGAGUGUUGCAAAAGUUGGAUCAGACAAAGCAAGACUUGGAGUGGUGGGAAAAAGACUUUGCUGCUACAUUUGCGAAGCAAAAACAAAUGGAGAAAGAACUAAAUAAAGCUCAUGAUGAUCUCAUUUUUCAGUUCAGGCAGAUCGAGGAACUGUAGGUUGUCGUUGAAGAGCAAGGCAAUGAAAUUGCUAGAUCAGUCUUUUACUUUUCCAAAAGGAGCAUGAACUGGGUGAACUCCAAAAAGAUGUAAUAAAAAAGGAUGAAGAAGCCAGGCUGCUGAGAUCAGAACUUGAGUUUAGAGAUCAGAUCAUAUGUGAGGCCAAUUCACUAAUUAAAGAUCAAGAGACAAAGAUUAAAGAUUAUCAGAAAGAUGUUGAGGAAAAAGAACAAGAUUUAUCUAAUUAGCAAAGAAGACUUGAAUUGAGAAAAACUGAACGAGAGAGGCUAGAAGGUAUGGAGGCUGAGCUUGAAAAGAAGACUUUAGAAUGGUCAUUAGCAAAGAAUGAGUUAAGGAAACUGAGAGGCUGCACCAAAGGACAUAAGUGAUAUGAAAGAGGCUUCAGGAGACUACAUAAGAAUAAGAUCACUUCUUGCUGCUGUAAGGUCUGAACUGGUCUAUUCACAGGAAUCUCUUUCUUUAUCUCGAAAAGAGAUGACAGAUGAAACACUUCAAUUUGAAAGACAAGCAGCAGAACUCAGUGAACAAAAACUUUUACUGGAGUCGUAGUCUGAAAAAUUGAAAAUUGCUUAUUUGGAAGUUAAGAGUUAAAGAAACAAGUUGAGAACUGCAUAUGUUCAGUGUGAAGAACUUGAAACACACUUAUCAGUUAGUAGGAAAGCGACAGAACAUCUAGAAGAGAGAUUAACAAGAGAGAGAGCUUUACUAGAACAGAAAACACAAGAGAUAGUAUUACUUCAAAAUGAGAUUGGACAGAAAGAACAGGAGUAUAGUGACGCUCGCAAACUUCUUCAGGUAAAGGAGUCUGAACUUGUAGAAGCCAGACUUCAAAUUCAGCACAUGAAAUCUGAGAUGGCCUCUCUUCAGCUUAUUUUGCAAGAAAAAGAUGCUGAGCUCAUUGAAUCUGGGAGAAAAUUGGUGGAGGUUAACCAUGACAUAUUGGAGCUACGAAGACUAACAAACAGCAAAGAGGAGCAGCUUAUCCAAACUACCAUAAAGCUGCAGGAGAAGGAAGAACAUAUCCAGACAAUGAAGCAUGAGUUGGGUGAUGCAAAAUUGAAGUUUUCUGAAGCUACAUCUAUUAUAGAAGGAAUAGUUCAAUUGACUAACAAUCUUGUUGGUUCUGUCAAAAAUGGAAAAAUGGGCACAACACUAGUUUCAGGAAUCAUAGUCUGGAAACUGAGCUUGAGGUAGUGAAGGAAUCUCUGAUGAAAAAGGAGAUAGAACUUCUUGCUUCUCAGAGACCUCUGGUUGUCAAAGAAGAAAAGUUUAGAUAAGUUCUUAGAAGGCUGGAAAUAACGGAAAAGGAAAUGGAGAACAUGAAAAAGUUGAUGGAAGAUGCCAGUGGCCUGGUGGAAGGUUAUGGCCUUGCCCAGGAGAGAAAUGGGGAUCCAAGUCUGGGGGCAUUGCCAAUUGAAAAGCUUCAGCUCAAGGCAGUCAUGUUAGAAGCUGAAGCCACAACAUCUGCUCUGCAAAAGCUUGUCGAUAUGACCCAUGAGCUCAUGAAAGAAACAGAGAGUUAUGAACUUGGGCUUUGAUGCUCCUACACCAUUAACAGGUGCAGAGCAAAUGUUUGACAACUCUGCUAUGAGUUCCAACAGGAGAAUAGAGGGUCUCAACGAGGCUAAGAAAGAAGUGGUCCGCCUUUUUGCUUUGACAGAGAAACUAGUUACGGAGGCUGGAAUGUCUCAUGCAGAUCUGCAGCCGUGAUCCAAAUUGCUCGCACAGCUUGCAAUGUGACCUUCCACCAUUGCAUGGAUGGGGUGAAUUACAAGCUUGAUGACAAAGGAUUCCUCUCAACCAUCCACAUAAACCCUCAAUGCCAAUGGCAGAUGCAGCAGAUGCGUGAAGAAACUUGAAGCUGCAGGAAGUACAAACAAGCUAGGGUGACGUAGUUCACCCUAUUGAGCAAAGUUUUCGGGCAAAAGCGAAGUCAAAUGAGUGAGACAUGCAACUGAGAUUUGAAGUUGUAAGCUUCCACGAAAUGGAUAACAAGAGCCUGUGAGACACAACCUUUCACUAUCAGCUAAGAAUCGAAGUUGCCUGAUGCCACUCGAAUGUUAUCCACACAUUAUGUGUUCUAUACUGUAGCCAUUUUGUCCAGUUCGAUGGACCACAUGGAUCCAUCGAAGGACCUUUCUUGCGAUCUUUUCUUUCUUAUAUGUAAUAUCCUCCUCCGAAACAGAGCACACAUCUGUGUUUCAUAAAAAAUAGUCAUCUACAAGUAUCUCAUAG